rnacentral:lncRNA from 1 species
UACAUGUGGAGAUAAUUAUUAAUCAUAUUUUCAACAAUCCUGUUGUCACAUAUUUAAAAAUAAAGCUCACUUUUAACCCUGCAAAAGGGUUCCAAUAUUUUUAACCCGAAAAGAGCUAAUAUAUUUUUUAACCCCAAAAGCCCCAUUUUUAAACAUGCCAAACAACAGUGAUAUAUGAAGAAUAUAUAUGAAGAACGAAGAUCAUGCACAA